CUCAGGGCCUGUCCCCCAGGGGUCUCCCUCAGCCUGACCCUGACCCAGGAAUGGCAGCGUGUCUGGUUGCGGGAACACGCCCUGGCCCUGCCUGUGCCUGCCGAGCCACCGGCGUGUCUGUCCGCCUGCGCAUCUGACUGCUGUACAGCCAGGUGUCAUGCGUGUGACCCAGCCCAGCAGGGCCUCCUGCCCACCCCGCCCGCGCCCACGGCCCUCACUUGGGGGUGACGAGAAGCGUGACAGGUGGGGGCUGGGCAAACCCCGUCUCCGCAGGGAAGCGUCUCCAGACCCCUUGGGCCCCCAGCCCGCACGCCCGGGCCUCUCCCUGCCACACAGGAGUGUGCAAAACACAUCUCUGCAGCAGGAGGCACCACGGCCGGACUCAGGCCCUCGGGACGGGUGCUUUUUAGGCUGAGUUCAGCUGUUCCUGGGUCGGAAGGUCUGGGUGAGGCGGUUGAGGGUGAGGCACCGUGACCGUCGCCCCGGCGGGGACUUGGGCCUGGCUCUGCCCAUCCCUCACUCUCUCUCCGGUCUGAGGUGGGCGGUGGCGGGUGCGGGGCCCCUGGGGGAGGCUGGGGCCGCUGAGACCUUCGGAUGCCACCGGAGGGAGGGCCUGGGGCUUGGGUUUCCUUCUGCUCCAGUCACCGGGCUGGGUCCGGCCCUGGGUCAGCGGGGAGGGGAGCUGGACUGCGGCCCUCCUGGGCUCCUGUCCUGCCUGCCCGGCCGGCCCUGGAAGAUCUGCGGCCACCUGUGUUUACUCUGGAGGAUGCAGCUGAGGAGGUCCUGGCAGGGCCACACUCGUAACCCCUGGCUUCUCAGCUGUGGGCGCGGUCUUGCACCCUGGCUAGCUGAGUUGAGGGGACUUUGCGGCAUCUGUGGCCCCGACCAGGGCAGAGUACCCGAGCCCCAGCCCAAGGAGAGGCCUCGCUGGGCAACGCGACCAGGACAGAGGCCGAGGCUGGAUGGGUGGGGAGCGCCUGGGGCCUUCCAGAUCCUCCUUCCUGCCCCUCCCGCCUCCACCUCCCUUCAGCCCCUUGGCUGCAGCCAGCUCUCCUGGGAUCACUCAUCCACUGUCUACCUCCACUGGGAACCUCGGUGAGGGAGGCUCAGAUCCUUGGGGAGGGAGGAGGGGGUGGGCCCCAGAGAGACCUUCCGAGGAGGACAGGGUGGGGCCAGAUCUUGGUUCUUCUCCUCGGGUGGUUCUGACCUGGCCAGCGUGGUGCAGUGUGGCCAUCAGGGCAGGGCUAGCGGCACCAGCAUCUAGCAGGGAGGGUGCGGAGGGCAGGGAGGCCAGAGAAGGAGGGGCUGUGAGUGCUGGGGGUGGGGACCCACCCUGGCCCUGAGGGAAAGGAGUGUGUACACCCACAGAGGUCUUUCCCCUCAGCCCACAGUGGGAGAGGGAGACGCCAGCUCACCUCAGAGUAGGAAACCAGGAAAAAGCGCCAAGCCCUUCCCAGGCCCCUGAAACCAGGGAGCAGGC
rnacentral:lncRNA from 1 species